rnacentral:rRNA from 1 species
UACGUAGGUGGCAAGCGUUAUCCGGAUUUAUUGGGUGUAAAGGGCGUGUAGGCGGGAAUGCAAGUCAGAUGUGAAAACUCAGGGCUCAACCCUGAGCCUGCAUUUGAAACUGUAUUUCUUGAGUGCUGGAGAGGCAAUCGGAAUUCCGUGUGUAGCGGUGAAAUGCGUAGAUAUACGGAGGAACACCAGUGGCGAAGGCGGAUUGCUGGACAGUAACUGACGCUGAGGCGCGAAAGCGUGGGGAGCAAACAGU